rnacentral:rRNA from 1 species
AUUGAACGCUGGCGGCAGGCCUAACACAUGCAAGUCGAGCGAGCGGCGGACGGGUUAGUAAUGUCUGGCAAACUGCCUGAUGGAGCGGUAUAACUACUGGAAACGGUAGCUAAUACCACAUACCAUCAGAUGUGCCCAGCUGGGAUUAGCUAGUAGGUGGGGUACUGGCUAACCUAGGCGACGAUCCCUAGCUGGUAUGCGAGGAUGACCAGCAAGACGAGCACUGACAGACGGUCCAACGUCCUCAGGGAGGCACCAGGGGGGAAUAUGGCACAAUGGGGACAAGCCUGACGCAGCCAUGGCGCGGUUGUGAAGAAGGCCUGCGGGUUGUAAAGCACUGGCAGCGAGGAGGCGGUACCCGCAGAAGAAGCACCGGCUAACUCGGUGCAGGCAGCCGCGGUGAUUC